rnacentral:rRNA from 1 species
UACGUAGGGUGCAAGCGUUGUCCGGAAUUAUUGGGCGUAAAGAGCUCGUAGGCGGCUCGUCGCGUCAGCUGUGAAAACCCGCGGCUUAACCGUGGGCUUGCAGCUGAUACGGGCGGGCUAGAGUUCGGUAGGGGAGACUGGAAUUCCUGGUGUAGCGGUGAAAUGCGCAGAUAUCAGGAGGAACACCGGUGGCGAAGGCGGGUCUCUGGGCCGAUACUGACGCUGAGGAGCGAAAGCGUGGGGAGCGAACAGG